GUUUGUGAGAAGAGCUGGUCUGGAGAGGACAGACCACACCUCAAGGAGAAGGUUGAACAAAGAGUUUCUCCUAUGCCCUUUGCCUCCUAGACCCAAUGGCAGUGCCACCUCAAUUUCUGGUUUGCUUCAGAAAUGUCCAUAAGUAUAGGCAUCUAAUCACUGUUAACUCAGAGAUCCACCUAAAUCUAGCUGUCUACUAUGCUCCUGUGAUUAAACCCUGCAGUUUUCUGUGACAAAUGCACAGAGAGCAUUCAUUCUCGCAGAAUCUACAGAACCUGCAGGUACAAAGACAGCUACUUUGCAGCUCUUCUUCAAAAAUGGAG